rnacentral:rRNA from 1 species
AUUGGGCGUAAAGAUUUCGUAGGUGGCAUGUCAAGUCUGGUGUUAAAGCUCGGGGCUCAACUCCGAAUCGGCACUGGAUACUGACAAGCUAGAGUGCAGUAGAGGCAAGGGGAAUUCCCAGUGUAGCGGUGAAAUGCGUAGAUAUUGGGAGGAACACCAGUGGCGUAAGCGCCUUGCUGGGCUGUAACUGACGCUGAGGAACGAAAGCCGGGGGAGCAAAUGGGAUUAGAUACCCCAGUAGUCCCGGCCGUAAACGAUGGAUACUAGGUGUUGCGAGUAUCGACCCUUGCAGUGCCGUAGUUAACGCGAUAAGUAUCCCGCCUGGGGAGUACGCACGCAAGUGUGAAACUCAAAGGAAUUGACGGGGGCCCGCACAAGCGGUGGAACAUGUGGUUUAAUUCGAAGCAACGCGAAGAACCUUACCAGGGCUUGACAUCCCAAGAACCUUGUGGAAACACGAGGGUGCCUUCGGGAACUUGGAGACAGGUGGUGCAUGGUUGUCGUCAGCUCGUGUCGUGAGAUGUUGGGUUAAGUCCCGCAACGAGCGCAACCCUCGUUGUUAGUUGCUGUAUGGAAGCACGCUUUUAUACAGCUCUCUAGCAAGACUGCCGGUGAUAAACCGGAGGAAGGUGGGGAUGACGUCAAAUCAUCAUGCCCCUUAUGCUCUGGGCUACACACGUGUUACAAUGGGUGAGACAACGAGCAGCCAACUGGCAACAGUGAGCAAAUCUCUUAAACUUAUCCUAAGUUCGGAUUGGAGUCUGCAACUCGACUCCAUGAAGUCGGAAUCGCUAGUAACCGUAGAUCAGCAUGCUGCGGUGAAUACGUUCCCGGGCCUUGUACACACCGCCCGUCACACCAUGGAAGUUGACCACGCCCGAAGUCAGUGUGCUAACCGCAAGGAGGCAGCUGCCUA